UACGUAGGGGGCAAGCGUUGUCCGGAUUUAUUGGGCGUAAAGAGCGUGUAGGCGGUUUGGUAGGUCCGUUGUGAAAACUCGAGGCUCAACCUCGAGACGCCGGCGGAAACCAUCAGGCUAGAGUCCGGAAGAGGAGAGUGGAAUUCCUGGUGUAGCGGUGAAAUGCGCAGAUAUCAGGAAGAACCCCCGUGGCUAAGGCGGCUCUCUAGUACGGUACUGACGCUGAGACGCGAAAGCGUGGGGAGCGAACAGG
rnacentral:rRNA from 1 species